UUUACUUUGAUCCCCAAAAAAAUAGGCCUAUACUAUAAGCUUAGGCACAUGUCUAAUAAAAGCAAAAUCUGUAGCCUAGCUAGCUAGCUGGAUCAGACUUGUAAUUUGCUACGUCCAUUAUAUUGAAUAAUAUACCUAAGUCGGCAUCCUCUAAUCAAUGUUACUGGCUAGUAGGUAACACAGCCAGAAUCCACGUACGUGUUAUAUAUACAUAUUUUAACACAGCCCUAGCUCUCACGUAAAUGCACUAUCGGCAGAUAUGAUGGUGGCCGCCGGCCGGGCCUAGCUGCACGUACGUGCACUAGCUACACACACAAAUAUAUAAUAUAUAAUAGCUAGUAGUACAUAGAUGAAAUCCAAUAAGGAAGGGACGCACUAGCUAGCGGGUCUCGGAGAGUGAAGCACUAGUACAGAGAAGCUCUAUACUGACGGUCCUAAACAUAUUUAUAGUGACGUUUUUCGUAACCGCCAGUGCUAGAGGUCAGUAGAAAUCAUCAUUUUUACAGGCGGGUAACUGAAGACCGCCAGUGAAAAUCGAUUUUCACUUGCGGUCGACGUAAUAAAACCGCCAGUGAAAAUCGAUUUUCACUGGCGGUCGACAUAAUAAAACCGCCAGUGCAAAUCGUUUCCAGAAAACAUAAAACAGAUUUUAAAAAUAGUAAAAAAAUUUAUAGUCGCAAGUCGCGACAUUUUUCGCGCGCUACGCGGUUGUUAGGAAUCGAACCGUAGACCUCACCCUUGCGCGUACCCUCCACUACCACUCCGUCUAUGACAUGACUUGUGUCUAGUUUGUAGUUGUUUUCUCCACAUAUUACAACCAUUUGAGUGUAAAUUGCUUAUUUGAGACCCUAAACGAAUUCAAAUAAAAAAGUUGUCAACUACAAAGAUAAAUAACUUUUGAAGUUCUACAACUUUUAUUUUGACACUUUUUUCAUCCGAGGUAGUUUGCAAAAUUUGAAUUUUAAAUUUGACAUACUUAGAUUCAAUUUUUGAGAACCGAAAUGAGUUCAAAUAAAAAAGUUGUCAACUACAAAGUUUCAUAACUUUUAGAGAUCUACAACUUUUAUUUUGGUGGUUUUAUCAUACGAGGUCGUUUGAAAAACUCGAAAAAUUAAGGAUAAAAAUGAUUUCUAGUGGCGGUUCCUUAAGAAAACCGCCACUAGAAAUCGUAUUUUUACUGGCGGUUCCUUAAGAAAACCGCCACUACAAAUCAUGGAUUUCUACUGGCGGUUUUCUUAAGGAACCGCCAGUAGAAAUACGAUUUCUAGUGGCGGUUUUCUUAAGGAACCGCCACUAAAAAUAGCACAGUCGGUGGAUAACCGGAUCCGCCUGUAAAAAUAUAUGGGUGCCGCAGGCUUUGAGCCUUUUUGUACUAGUGUGUCUAAUAAAAGCAAAAUCUGUAGCCUAGCUAGCUAGCUGGAUCAGACUUGUAAUUUGCUACGUCCAUUAUAUUGAAUAAUAUACCUAAGUCGGCAUCCUCUAAUCAAUGUUACUGGCUAGUAGGUAACACAGCCAGAAUCCACGUACGUGUUAUAUAUACAUAUUUUAACACAGCCCUAGCUCUCACGUAAAUGCACUAUCGGCAGAUAUGAUGGUGGCCGCCGGCCGGGCCUAGCUGCACGUACGUGCACUAGCUACACACACAAAUAUAUAAUAUAUAAUAGCUAGUAGUACAUAGAUGAAAUCCAAUAAGGAAGGGACGCACUAGCUAGCGGGUCUCGGAGAGUGAAGCAAAAGGAUGUAUGGUUGAGCGAGCAGCUAGGCAGGUGUAUAUCCAACACUAGCUAGCUAGAAAAGGAACAAAGUUUGACCAUGCGUAUCAUGAUUCCUUAUGAAGAAAGUAUGACACCAAUAAUAUAUGCUGCUUGGAAAGCUGAUGGCUGGCAGCCGAUGUUAUUUAAUCGGCAAAGCUUUCUGAUGAUCAAAAGCCACAGGCAUCGCCUAUCACAUACAGGA
rnacentral:lncRNA from 1 species